rnacentral:rRNA from 1 species
UGUGGCUCUGAGAAUUAAAAGUACGUGAACUGCUUAGAGGUUAAACCCGAUGAACCUAAAUAUCCAGUAUGAGAAAGUCAUUAUUAUGAGUAUAUUAUUUUAUAAUGUAUUAAUAGUGUGCAUUUUUUUCAUAAAAAGGACAUUGUAAUCUGUUAAUACAAUUUAUAUAUUCUUUUAUAUAUUAUUUUUAUCAUAAAGAGUCAUGUAUAAGUUUACAUAUAAAUUAAUUAAUUUAUUAAUUAAUUGAUGUAAGAUCGAUGAAUUUCUAGAUAAAUAGUUAACAGUAUUAAAAUAUAUAAUGCUUACAUAAUUUUUUAUGUUUUAUAUAUAAUAUGUACAUGUACAUAUAUAUGUUUUUGCAUUUAUAUUAUUAACAAUGCUAUAGAUUUAGGAAACUUUCAUUCUUU